GGUCAGUCUCCAAGAGCCCUUAGUAACACAGGUAAAAACCUUUGUCCAUGAUUUCUGAUUCAGGCUAUAUACCACAAUUUAAAAUAACACAUAAUGUGAGACAUAGAAGACACAAGCAGUAGUUAUUACACUGGAUCAUUUAAAAGGAACCUGUUGCAAUAAAAAGGUUAGUUUACAGUGCAAAAUAAAGCAUGUGUUGGACCGCUGAAAAUGUAAAUGUUGCUCUUAUUUUCAAACAAAAAUUAUAUUUACAGUAUGGAUCCUUUGCAACAAACACACAGGGCAGGGAAGAAGUGCUGAUUGGUGUUUCUAUACAAUUAAUCCCAUAUGGGGAAUUAACUUCCAAAUACUAAUGAAGUGACUUUUUGUCUCAGUUAUAAAAUAUACUGAGCUCAUCAUGCAAACAAUGCAACACAUUUACACUAUCCCACUCUCAUAAUAAGUGUAGUGGGCUUAUGGUAUUUUUAAAGCAGCAAUCAUACCAGGCACAUAGAUCCCAUGUGAAAUAACUUACAAUAAAACAGAGUAAUAAACUUAUACUUCUAUGCGACAGAAAGAAUAAAGCAAAAAGAUUUAAGUAGGUCUAUCAGGUACAACCUGUGAGUCAUUUCUUUUCUAAUAUACAGUACUGCUAUCUUGCAGAAAGAUAAGUCCUGCGCUCACUCCCAUCACUACUGGGCAGCAGCAAGGACUACAGUACACAUCAGCCCCAAUAUAUGGUAAAAACCAAAGAAAAACAAGUUACCUGCGUUCUCUCCUUAAUCCCUAUGUAUUUUUAAAACCUCCAUUUGUUUAAAAGUACUGCUAUCUUAUAUAUACACAUAUACAUAUACACACACAUAUAUACAUACAUAUAUACAUAUAUACAUACACACACAUAUACAUGUACAUAUAUUGGUCACUCAGGACAUGAACUCACAUUUCCCAUACUGCUGACUCAGAGUGGGGACACUACUAACUUACCAAAGUGUGUCCCCAAUAUAGACAAACAAUCACCCACAAAAAACACUUAAGACAAACAAAG
rnacentral:lncRNA from 1 species